ensembl:lncRNA
UUUUUUUUUUUUUUUUUUUUUGGUGGGUGCCCCUGGCAUGCAGAAGUUCCAAGACAGGGAUGGAGCCUGUGCCACAGCAGGGACAACACCAGAUCUUUAACCACUAGGCCACCAAGGAACUCCCUAAAAGCUAUCAUUUUAAAACAUGCAAGCAUUCAAGAUUUUCAUCAAAAAACUACACAAAAGUAAAUUUGUAAAGUUUUUUAAAAGUUUGUACUUCUUUGAUUAAAAUGUUCUGGCCUCUGAAAGCAAAUGUGGACAAAUUCACCAUAGCAGGUACUCCUGGGAAGGCAGGCCAUCCCAGCUGCUGGACCCAGCAUCGCUCAGCCUCCUGGGUUCAUUUUCUGGGAACAGCAAUAAUAAUCGCGCCCACCAGACAGGACUGUGAAACUAAAAGAGUCCCGUGUGUGGCACAGUGCAGUGCCUGGCACAUGGGCAUACACAGCUAACAUUUGCUGCUCCUGCCACCAUCACUAUCAAGAUCACUGCCAUGCAAUUAAACUUCUGUCUGUAUGUUGUCAGUGCAAAACAAUUUUCUAAAACCAAAAAAUACUGACACAAAACUGAGAAAGAAAUAACAUCAGCCAGUCCCACCCAUGUUAAGCCUUUUUUUUGGGGCGGGGGGUGUCUGGUUUUAAUGCCAGCCAAGGAACAGUUUUCACAACCUCUUUCAAUUCCGUGGUCUAUCUCAUGAAGCAAUAGGUAUUUAGGCAAAGACACACACAUGCCCAGGCUGGUAUAUUUAAAAGAACCAAUCUGAUAGAAAUGAACACCCUGUACUUUUAGGCAGAAACAAAGCAGGUUUUCCAUGGGGUGAGCUCAGCCCUUGUUUAAUGGAGUGGCACAGAAAUAGAGCAAAUUAAAAUGACACUAUUUCCUAACAGCUCACAGGAUAAGCCACUGCAGGUGGAUCACACCUGGAAACAAGCUCAGGUCAGCCCUUGACAGGGGUAAGUAGUCACGGAUCCAAAGACCAAGGAAGUUCUUCAGUCCCAAAGGCAGGACAGCCUGCAUCGGGCCCACCAGCAAAGCACAAGGAUGCCAACGUGCCUCUGAGGGUUUCUGCUUUUUCCAACAACACUGAAACGCCUCGGCAGGUCCACAACAGAAGUACAUCCAUCAGAUUACAAGUUCCGCAUCGAAGCGACGCUCAGGUCCGUUUGAAUUUAAUGAAUAAACCAAGUGAACAUGGUUAGAGGUGAACAGAUUCCGAAGAUAAAAACAGAUUUUGCAGAGUGCAUGUUUGAAGUCCGUCCUCUCAUGGCAGCUAAUGUCUCUGAAACCCUGUGUUGGGGCAAAAUUCUACAUUUGCUAUGGAAGCAGUGGCUGAAGCAGCUGGUGGGCAGGCUGGUCCAUCAGCAGCUGUCAGAACUCACAGAAUGACGGUGGCAGGAAUGUCUUCACCCCAUUAAACGUGUGGAUGUGUGUCCUUUGCUGUUGUAGGUAUGUUGUAGACACGUCGUGUGUAGCGAUGCUGUUUGCAGCUAUGCAGGUGUGUUGUAGAUAUGUAGGUGGAUGACACACUUUGAGCCAGUAACGCUUCAAAACAGCCAGGACAAGCAUAACUGUGCUAGCUGUCGGAACGAAGGAAAUUACACUCAAGUUGGCAACCAUCAAGUUGUUCCCUUAGAGACUGGAUGAUAUUAAAAAUGUGACUGGGAAUUCACCCAAGUGAUUUUAUUAGCAGAACUUCAAAAUGCUUUACUUCCUGUUCAGAAAUGGACCUACGACCUCACAUAUCAAGGACAUAGUGCAAGUUCUGACAUACGCAUCCUUAAGGAUUUUUUUUUUUUUAAGUCUUUUUAGGGCCACACCCACGGCAUAUAGAGGUUCCCAGGCUGGGGGUCCAAUCGGAGCUACUGCUGCCAGUCUACACCACAGCCACAGCCACACCAGAUCCGAACCUCCAUGUGCCGCGGGUGCAACCUUAAAAAGACAAAAGACAAAAAACAAAUAAGUAAAUAAAUAAAAUAGAAUAUGGCACAGAUGAACCUAUCUCUAGAAGAGAAACAGGUAUUUCUCUAAAAGAGAUAAAAUCAGGAGCCAACCUUCCAAAGAAAGAAAAAUUUCAUUCUCCACCCUCUUAAAGCAGCUAAAAUCACUUUUGCUUCAAAUCACUUGGCACCAAAAUGUGACAGAUCUGGAGUUCCCACUGUGGCUCAGCUUUGGCGAACCCAACAAGUGGCCAUGAGGAUGUGGGUUCAAUCCCUGGCCUCGCUCAGUGGGUUAAGGAUCUGGCCAGGAGCUGUGGUGUAGGUCACAGACAUGGCUCAGACCUGUCAUUGCUGUGGCUGGGGUGCAGGCUGGCGCUACAGCUCUGAUUUGACCCCUAGCCUGGGAACUUCCAUAUACUACAUGUAUAACCCUAAGAAGACAAAAAAAAUUAAAAAUUUUCUUCAGAAUUUUUUAAAAGAUGCUCAACAUCAUUAAUCAUUAGAGAAAGGCAUAGUAAGACCUCAGCAAAAUACACUUAUUAGAAAGGCUCAAAAAUUCUGAGAUUAUCAAGUGCAAAAGAAGAUGUGGAACAGCUAACUCUCAUUGGCUGCAAGUACAAAUUUACAAUGAAAUAAUCUCUCGAUUAAAGUAAAGCAUACACUUCCCAUGUGACCCAGCAAUUCCAUUUAGGUAUAGCUCUAAAAAGCUAAAAAAAAAAGACAGAUCCACAGCAAUGUUUCAAAUUUCACUAAUCUAAUUCCAAUAUUUUUCAAAGGACAUUUUAUUCCAUGGUGCAGUCAUGAUUCAAAACAAAAGGAAGCCAUUUAGCUUGAAACUAUUAAAAUAAACCCUGCUAAUUCUUCUUGGGUCUGCUCCCAAGCAGCUUGCAGGAAGUCAUUGGAAACACACUACAUUUUGCAGCUAUUGUUAAGCGAGAUAAGUCUCCUCCACUUUACCAAGUAUUACUCUUCAAAUGCAGAAUGUAUUUUAAUAGGUGAAACUUUUUCUAAAUAGUACUAUUUCUGUAGUUAAAGCUCUAGAAGGGGGUGAAGGAUUCUUUUUGAUGUUUCAGCCAUAUGGAAAGCAGGAUGCAAGCGAAAUCCACCUACACAGCAAUAUUCAAAUAAUGCUAAAAACCUAAGGCAAUGAACGUCCUUCCCACCAUCAAACUUAAUUUCCAAAGUACGCAACUUAAGUAGAAGCAUCCUUCUUGUGGAGCCUUUCUCCUGAUCGUUACGGGUCCAGCGUCACCUGCAUGGCCUGGGACCCUGUCUGAAGUGGGGCCUCUCAGUCUCAUCUUGGACCUGCUGAACCAGAGUCUUCAUUUUCACAGGAUCCCCAGUGUCCACAUGAAAGCUGAAGAAGCGCUGCUCUAGGGAGUUCCACUGCGGCUCAAUGGGUUACUAACACAACGAGUAGCCAUGAGGACGUGGGUUCGAUCCCAGCCUCACUCAGUGGGUUAAGGAUCAGGCACUGCCUUGAGCUGCACUGUAGGUCAUAGAUGCUGCUUGGAUCCAGCGUUACAGUGACUGUGGUGCAUUACAGUGACCGUGGUGUAGGCUUGCAGCUGCAGCUCUGAUUCAACCCCUAGCCUGGGAACUUCCAUAUGCCUCUGUUCCCACCGCAUCUUCAGAUGUUCAUCACUCAUCACCUGCUGCAACGCUCUUACCCUGAUCCUCUGCCUGUCCCCUCUCCAAGUGAGACCCCCAACAGGUCCCUGCCCACCUGGUCUUCCUCAGAUAUCAGCAGGAAUCUCACCUACUCAGGACCUCACAGCUCCCACCUCUUAGGGAACAGAGGAGAAAUGCCCAUGUCUGUACCUGCACAGGUGUGUCUGUCCCCACUCACCUCCCAGGAGGGGCACUGGCCCACCGGCUGAGUCCUCCUUGCUCAGACGUGGCUUCCGACCCAGGAUUUGUCUCUCACCCAAUCUGCAAGGCCAUGUCCCACGUCCUCCCUGGGGCCAAAGCCACUCUCUGUGUCCCGGAAGGAUUCACGGGCAAGGACAUUCACUUCCCUUGGCCUGUCCUGUGGGCAGGUUCUCGCAGGUGAAUGACCCUACUGUGGGUCCCGUUAACAGGACAAGGCCGGGAGGUAAAUGCCACUGACUGCUUCCUGCUUCAGCCUGUGGCAGAAGGAGUUUCUCCCAAGUUGGUACCCAAGCUCAUGCAGUUCAAGUCAAGCUCUGGAUGAAGGGGGAGGGGAAGGAUCCCUCGCUGAGACUUUCUUCACCACAAUGCUAAAUGCAUCAGGGUAGUGUGCCCCUCAUUACUUUCCAGAGGCCUCACAGAAUGCCAAGUAUUAUAGCCCCAAAGCAAAGAUGAAUCUCAUUUUCUUUCUUUCCUUUUUUUUUCCUCUGUCUUUUUGUCUUUUUAGGGCCACACUCAUGGCAUACGGAGGUUCCCAGGCUAGGGUCUAAUCAGAGCUGUUGCUACCGGCCUACGCCACAGUCAUAGCAAUGCUGGAUACAAGCCGCGUCUGCAAGCUACACCACAGGUCACGGCAACACCGGAUCCUUAACACACUGAGCAAGGCCAAGGAUCGAACCCGCAACCUGAUGGUUUCUAGCUGGAUUCGUUUCCGCUGAACCAUGACAGGAACUCCAAAUCUUAUUUUCUAAAAUACUCAAGUGCUAGGACACCAUGUAUCUCUAAGCAUCGUACACGAUGCCCGGUACCAACGAAGUGCUCAGCAAACAUUGGUUGAAUCAAUAAAUGCGUUUCCUUUUUUUGUUUUCCCAUUUAUCGCACACAGAGACUACAUU